rnacentral:rRNA from 1 species
AUUGAACGCUGGCGGCAUGCCUUACACAUGCAAGUCGAACGGCAGCACGGGAGCAAUCCUGGUGGCGAGUGGCGAACGGGUGAGUAAUAUAUCGGAACGUGCCCAGUCGUGGGGAUAACGUAGCGAAAGCUACGCUAAUACCGCAUACGAUCUAUGGAUGAAAGCGGGGGAUCGCAAGACCUCGCGCGAUUGGAGCGGCCGAUAUCAGAUUAGGUAGUUGGUGAGGUAAAGGACUCACCAAGCCGACGAUCUGUAGCUGGUCUGAGAGGACGACCAGCCACACUGGGACUGAGACACGGCCCAGACUCCUACGGGAGGGCAGCAGUGGGGAAUUUUGGACAAUGGGCGCAAGCCUGAUCCAGCAAUGCCGCGUGCAGGAUGAA